rnacentral:rRNA from 1 species
AUUGAACGCUGGCGGCAUGCCUUACACAUGCAAGUCGAACGGCAGCAUGAUCUAGCUUGCUAGAUUGAUGGCGAGUGGCGAACGGGUGAGUAAUACAUCGGAACGUGCCCUGUAGUGGGGGAUAACUAGUCGAAAGAUUAGCUAAUACCGCAUACGACCUGAGGGUGAAAGUGGGGGACCGCAAGGCCUCAUGCUAUAGGAGCGGCCGAUGUCUGAUUAGCUAGUUGGUGAGGUAAAGGUUCACCAAGGCGACGAUCAGUAGCUGGUCUGAGAGGACGAUCAGCCACACUGGGACUGAGACACGGCCCAGACUCCUACGGGAGGCAGCAGUGGGGAAUUUUGGACAAUGGGCGAAAGCCUGAUCCAGCAAUGCCGCGUGUGUGAAGAAGGCCUUCGGGUUGUAAAGCACUUUUGUCCGGAAAGAAAUGGCUCUAGUUAAUACCUGGGGUCGAUGACGGUACCGGAAGAAUAAGGACCGGCUAACUACGUG